rnacentral:rRNA from 1 species
CACGAACCGGACGAACGUUAUUCGGAAUCACUGGGCUUAAAGGGUGCGUAGGCGGCCUGGCAAGUUGGGUGUGAAAUCCCUCGGCUUAACCGAGGAAUUGCGCUCAAAACUGCUGGGCUUGAGGGAGUCAGAGGUGAGCGGAACUUAGGGUGGAGCGGUGAAAUGCGUUGAUAUCCUAAGGAACACCAGUGGCGAAAGCGGCUCACUGGGGCUUUUCUGACGCUGAGGCACGAAAGCUAGGGGAG